UGGAGAUAAUAACAACAUAUCUGGAUGCCUACCUGUGCAAUUUACUCUAGGGGAUCUGCUUUAGCAAAUGGUUUGGAUUUGGUGAAUUCUAGAGGUCCAACCCCUACAAUUCUGUGAUACGUUACUGCUGUUAAAGUUAUCUAGUUACCUCAGUUACAAGUGUCUGGGUUAUGACAGUAACAGCAAGUGAGUCCUGUAUUUCCAUUCCUGUGUGCUCUAGCAUUCAAAGAAGUAACUCAAAUUUCAACAUGAGCAGUUCAUGAGUUAAGAAAGGACGAACCCCAGUCUUGAUGCUCAAGGUUUCCACCUGCAGUGCCAGAGCAGACAUCAUCUUGUUAUGUUUACUUUCCAGCACAGAUGAUCCAGCAAUCUGCGUCAGCACUUGACUUAAUUGCAAGAGAAACAAGAACAGAUGGAUACUUCCUUAACACCUGCUGCUGUGGGAGUCUUUUGAAACACUUGCAAGUAAGAAAUUAUUACUGCUAUAAAACGUCUCUCCUUUUUAUUUGUUUAGAAGAUUUCUAUAGAACACACAUACAAUUUAUUUUAGGUUUCUGAAGUUAGGCUGUAGUUUUGGAAAGCUGAGGAAGUAUCACUUAUUGAAGGAAAGCUUAUUUCUAUGCCUCAUAAAAGAGGCUUUAGGAUAUUAA
rnacentral:lncRNA from 1 species